rnacentral:rRNA from 1 species
AUUGAACGCUGGCGGCAUGCUUUACACAUGCAAGUCGAACGGCAGCGCGGGCUUCGGCCUGGCGGCGAGUGGCGAACGGGUGAGUAAUGCAUCGGAACGUGCCCAGUAGUGGGGGAUAGCCCGGCGAAAGCCGGAUUAAUACCGCAUACGACCUGAGGGUGAAAGCGGGGGACCGAAGGGCCUCGCGCUAUUGGAGCGGCCGAUGUCGGAUUAGCUAGUUGGUGGGGUAAAGGCUUACCAAGGCGACGAUCCGUAGCUGGUCUGAGAGGACGACCAGCCACACGGGGACUGAGACACGGCCCAGACUCCUACGGGAGGCAGCAGUGGGGAAUGUUGGACAAUGGGGGCAACCCUGAUCCAGCCAUGCCGCGUGCGGGAAGAAGGCCUUCGGGUUGUAAACCGCUUUUGUUCGGGAAGAAAUUCUCUGGGCUAAUACCCCGGGGGGAUGACGGUACCGGAAGAAUAAGCACCGGCUAACUACGUG